GGCUGUAAUAAUUUUCAGUUCUUCUUCAUGUUUUCUUGUUGUGCUGGUGCUACCUGACAUUUAGUAAAUAAACAUCUACCUGUUCCAACACCUGGCAGUGAUGAUGAGGCCCACCGCCAAGUGUCAUCAGGAAGACGAGGAACUGUCCACACGGGUUUAGGUUCUGGACCAUGGACUUGUUCAAACAGAGACACUCUGGAAAGGUUAGCUAAAUUCACAUUUAUGCUAACGAGACAAGAAUGUGUUGCCAUGUUGUUAGGUGCUACAAGGACAUCCUCACAUCUGGCAGCAGACGUAAAUAUUAGAGCAAACUUGAUGAGAUUCACAGUAAGUUCUUCCACUGUGAACUAAUGCUGUGAAAAAUACAAGUUUAAACAAUUUGAUAAAUACUGAUCAGUUUUAAAAAGACUAAAAUCAUCUCAGGGAUCAGAUUGAAGUCCAACUCAGAGGAUGGAAAUAAAAAGAUUUCCCUCAUAAAUGUCUCAAGUUGUGUUAAAUCAAACUAAAUGUGACUUUGUAUCAUAGUCUGUCAAAAACCUGUCUCUUUAAGAACCUCCUACCAUUUCAGACACUCCCACAUCAGCAGUUUUCACAACAAUGCUGUAGGGGGGAGGAGCUAAGUACUGAUAGGUGGAGCUUUGUAACAGCAAGCAUUUAGGCAGGAGCACAGGUUUCAGUUCAACAUGAAUAAAUGAGUCGAAGCAACGAACCUGACCUGUUUCUGAUGACAGAGUGAUGGAAACAUUCUCUUCUAAAUGUUUGUUUCAAAUGUUCAAACAUUAAUUAUUAUUAAUUAUUAUCAAAGAUCAUUUUCAUAAAGACAAACUGUAGUUUUUAAAUCAUUUCAUUUAGUUGAACAAACAGCUGUGUGAAAGGAGCAGGCUGUCCUGUAAACAGCACAAAGAUGGCCGCCGCUCAAUGUCCGGUCCAGGGUCGGACCCCCCUCAGUCCCCCCUACACCCGCCCCUGGACCAUCAGAGCAGGGCCGGUGUCGAAUGUCAAGUCCAACAGGUGUUGGGUUGGUGUUGGGCAGAACCUCGACAGCACGUGUGACGAACCCAGAAUAACUUCUCGGGCCCAGUCCAGGAAGUGGCACCGACCUGGUUCUGAGUCCUGUCAGGGAAGUAGAGACUGGGUCAGAACCAACAGGAGAAGCUGCGAGAUAACAGGUUUGACCCGGUAAGAAGUGUGGAGAGAGAGGCUGAGUGACCCCCCUGGACCUCCUGGACCUCCUGGACCCCCCCGACCCCCGGACCGUCCCCAGCUCCGUUGGGCCMGAGGACUGGAGCAGGACAUGUUGAUAGCUGUCAGCACCGCCACAGGAAGCUCCGCCUCCACUGGCAGGAAGCACAGACGGAGGGCCAAGAAGCACCGGAGGGCUCGAGCUGAGGACCACCGAGCAGAAACAUCUUCCAUGAUGACAUCAAACAUCGUUAACUUGGAACAAGUAACUAAAGUAAGGAAGUAAAAGUAUCAUUUUUAGCUUUAAAAUGUAAAAAAUAAAAGUAGCUAUUU